AGUCGCGCAUUUACACGGAGAACGUGAACGCGCGUGUACCGUUUUUGAAAGUCGACUUUACCGAUCGAAGAUCAGUCUCUAUCCGUGUCUGGCAACAGUCGCGAGCUUAAGCCGAAGAGCUUGUUUUCGCGAGCGCGAAACCGUCCGUAUUGGUGGCCCGAUACGUUCGUAGGUGCACGGGUGUUGGCUAUCGAUCCCGCUCGUCUCGAUUUUCUGCAUGUUCAUUGGCGCCUCGGUUGCUAACAGUGCGUCGUAUGGUACAGUGCGGGCACCGUUCGAUCAGUGCUGUGGCCUUACGAGUUACGCUCAAGAUAUUUUGUGUAAUUUUACCUGUUUCAUCGAUGUGAUUCACCCUCGUGUCAACAGGAACUCGCGGUUCUCCAGCUUUUCUUUCGAGAGAGUGUCGGUCUACCGAUAUCCUUGGAAGACAAUGAAUCCUCGAGGAGUGAUCGACGUGUCCGUGUUCGUCUGAUCGUUCUUUAUCCUCCAUGGGCAGACCGUGCGGGUAUUCAUCAUUGACUGGCAACGGCACGGCACUACCAACGAUCGAGCAAGCUUAGGAUCAUGGAAUUUUAUGACGUGGGAAGCAGCGACCUUAGAGAAUUGUGGGAGUCCUAUCUCUCCGAACCGUCACGCAUCAGUACAACCCGUAGGAACAAAUUGGAAAGGAUGAAGGUUGUUCGCGAGGAGUUCACUGUACCAUGGCCUCUAAUGUCCACGAUCUGGAUGUCACGUCGCGGAUCGAGAUUUUUUUCCACGAAAGUCGAACGCCAGUCUCUCGACACGGUUCUUCCAUCGUUCGUCUUCGCUGUGAAAAAAACUGAAACUCGACGAAAAUUCGAAAUCUUCGACGUUCGAGACGA